GCGCUUGACGGCCCACGCGUGCAAGGCCUACUCGGCGUACAGGCUCGCUGGCCACGCUCCUCCCCUGUUCGCCUCGCGAGUUUGCCUAAGCAUCACGCAGUCUCACCGCCCAGCCACGCUUGCUGGCGGCCUGGCGCAGAGGGCACUGAAUCGCCGCACCUCGACUAUGCGCCUCUUGCUGCGCCCAUCGCUCCACCUCCCGCCAAUGCCCGCCGUUCCCAUCCCACCAUGUCUGCCGGCACAGCGCCUCCCGUAGUCCCGCUACUCGGCCAGCCCACUCAACCGCCGCAUUUUGGCACCUCAUUGUACGCCUCCUCAACUGCCUCUGCCAAUGAAUGCUACCGUUCUUGCCAUGGUGGAGCCGUUCUUGGCAUUCAUUUGCAGCAUGCACAUAAACUCCACCCCCAUUAGCCAUUCUAUUAUUCCUUCCCCAAGCCUAUAUCCCGAAGGACCAAAGGUUGUUUUUUUUCUUUUCCUUUCCUCAACUGGUGGUCACUACAUUGUUGCUUUGGCUUAGAUCUCCCCACUGCCGGUGCACCAAAUUCAUGGAGUCCGUGUAGAGGGAGGGCACAACGUCCUAAUCAAAGCAAAAAGUUCACAUAAAUUGAUUUCGCUUCUAGAUGUAGCAGCAACAUUGGCCUUCUUGACAAAUAAAGCUACAAAUGGGAAGCUCCAUCUCUGCAACAGCAUGCACCUCAAGUACUUCAGUUAUCUCCAAUCCAAGGAGUUGGCCAAAUAUACACACUUGACAAAAUAAUUGAACUACCAGCAACAUCUUUCCAGGCAACAAUCCGCUUACAUUCCAUUAAAAAUAUAUUCAAUUCUACACACUCUAUAUGCCAACAUAUACUCCAAAUGCUUCUCACAAUUUUGUUUUCUCCACAAAUAAAAGGGAGGUGCUAAGGCACAAAAUGGUACUACAAAGCAUGUCGAAAUUGAAAAGUGGGAUAUGGAAGCAUUUCAGAAGAACCAAGAUGUGAUUGUGCAGCCAAUGUAAAAAAAACUUCCUUCUACCUUACUAUUAUAUAGUAAAUAUUUAUUAAAUUCAUCCACCAUAUUUCCUACGCAAUUAACAUUUCAUAAUCGCUACAAGUACAAACUUCCUAUUACCAUUACAGAUGAUACUGGAAGAAUAGACACAAUAGCUUUCUCUUUCAUAGCUGAAGGCUUGGUAGAACGUAUUGCAUAUCAUGCUUCUCAAAACAUGAAAAUUGACGCAACAGAACAUGUAGCUGCUUUAGAUAAAGCAAUUGUAAAAAUUAGACUCUUUUACAUAGGAAUGAGCACUAAUUCGUCCUCCACUUUUUCCAUCAAAUAUGUCUUGAGGAAGAGUUUUCAAAUAGAGAAUUCAAGUUAACAUUCAAAGGAACCAUCUGCACAGGCAACACCUGUCAUGACAGCACUAUCUUCUCCACCUCCAAACACAGGAUCUGAAAGCUCAAACAUAAAGAGAUCAUUAGAUUCCAAAGAUAACACAGAAUGCAAGGCAAAAGGUCAAACGCCUACCUCCCAAACUCUUUCUAAACGUCAAAGACCAGAAUAACAACACGGCGGAACACUUGGUACAAGCUCUUUGUUCAGCGUCACAUUACCAUAUAUAUAGGCAUUUGUGUCUCUGAUGCUUGACUACUUUUCCUUAUAGUGCUUUUACAAUAAUACUUCAAAAAACUUUCACGUCUGUGGCACUCUAAAUCUCUUAUUUAUAUCAAAACUGAGCUUCAUACAAGUACUGUAUUUUUGUUUACCUAUUUCUGAAUCUGAACAUUCUAAAAGUUGAAGAGUGACCGUGGGAUGCAUAUUUCAGUAUUAUUC